GCCCGCCCCACACAGUCACAGAGGGGCCAGCCUGGCUGGAGCUCCCAGGCAGGGGGUGCUGCCCACACCCAGCCCCACUCCCAGCACGGCUCGGGGUGUGCUGGAAGCCCUCGCCAGCAGCAAUCAUGGUUAUGCAAGGCAGGAGCUUGACAGAGUGCCAGUUCUGCAUGCUGAAAAUUGAAAGCGAUCGACUUCCACCUUGCGCAUCAGGAUGCUCAGUUCUACCAGGCAGGAUGCUCCUCCUGGGAGCAGGACUGGCAGACCAGGAAAGCCCAGGAGUUAGCAGAGAAGAUUUCCUGAAGGAAUCUCAUCUGUAUGAGGAAUCCUUGGGUGCAGGGCCAAACCAGCACGUGUUUUCAGGAGCCCAAACAAAAUUAGGGAAGAAAAAGAUGCAAAUAUCCCAGGAAUGUGCCCAGCAGUCUUUUGUGAGGAUUGGACAUAUCAAGCUGUUUGAGAGAUGCAGACAUAAAUUCACACCUAAUACUAGUGGAGCGAUGGGGGGCUCCAGGUUUUCCAGGGGAAACUCAUCUUGGAGCAGCAGCCUCUGCCUGCACAUCCCUACUGACAGCCAGAGCUGCUGUGAGCAGGGAUUUUGGAUGGCUUGGACGAAGCAGAAAUGACU